GACGCAGGGCGCGAGCGUUGUCCGGAUUUAUUGGGCGUAAAGAGCUCGUAGGCGGCUUGUCGCGUCGACUGUGAAAACCCGUGGCUCAACCAUGUGGUCUGCAGUCGAUACGGGCAGGCUAGAAUUCGGUAGGGGAGACUGGAAUUCCGGGUGUAGCGGUGAAAUGCGCAGAUAUCAGGAGGAACACCGGUGGCGAAGGCGGGUCUCUGGGCCGAUAUUGACGCUGAGGAGCGAAAGCGUGGGGAGCGAACAGG
rnacentral:rRNA from 1 species